AAGUCGUAACAAGGUUUCCGUAGGUGAACCUGCGGAAGGAUCAUUAGUGAAUAAUAGGACGUCUUCUCUUCGGAGAGAGUCCGACCUCUCACUUUCUAACACUGUGCACUUGAAAUACUUGGGAUUAAGCGGGCUUAAUUGCCUGUCCCAAUUACUUUUAUGACUCUAAAGUUAAAGAAUGUAAUGAUAAACCAUAACAAACGAAAAA
rnacentral:misc_RNA from 1 species